rnacentral:misc_RNA from 1 species
AACGCACCUUGCGCUCCUUGGUAUUCCGAGGAGCAUGCCUGUUUGAGUGUCAUUAAAUUCUCAACCUUUAUCAGUUUUACUGGUGAAUGGCUUGGAUGUGGGAGUUGCUGGUUUCAUGUUUUUGAAAUCAGCUCUUCUGAAAUGCAUUAGCUGGUUGCCUUGUGCAAACUUGUCUAUUGGUGUGAUAAUUAUCUACGCCGUGGACUUGCAUGAAUGAGCACUGCUUAUAAUCGUCUGUAAAGACAAUUUAUGACAAUUUGACCUCAAAUCAGGUAGGACUACCCGCUGAACUUAA